rnacentral:lncRNA from 1 species
GGAUAUUUUCACAUUUUCAUCCCAUGUUAUUGUUUUUACCGAAACCUGGUUAAAGCCGGACAUUCUUAGUUCCGAAGUUUUGGCAGAUCGGUACACAAUUUAUAGGAAUGAUCGUUCGUCUCGACGUGGAGGAGGGGUUCUGAUUGCAGUAAACUCUAACUUUACGUCGGAACUUUUCAUAGUCCAGGUCUCACAAGACCUGGAAUUCCUCUGUGUUAGACUGAUUCUUCCCGGCCAGUCUAUUUAUGUCACUUGCUCGUAUAUUCCACCGUCUUCGGAUGUACUAAUAUACGAGCAGCAUUUGUCUGCCUUAAAAACUGUUUCUUCCUCGCUAUCAGAUAAAGACCAUUUAAUAGUUCUUGGGGAUUUCAACCUGCCAGGUACUGUCUGGUCUUCGGUUAACGAGUCAAACAACCUUGUGCCCAUGUCACGACAUGAGUUUAUUGAUGGCUUAUUAGACCUGUCCCUGUCUCAAGUCAACCAUGUAAAAAACUCCUUGGGUCGAUUGCUUGAUCUGUGCUUUGUCUCGGAUCCGACCGUAGCGUUGUUAACACGAGCACUCCCGCUCACUAUACCUGAAGACUGCUAUCAUCCUACUUUCGAAGUGUCGAUAGAUAUUGGACCUACUGUAUCGGAUCGUGCGGGUAGGCUAUCUGAACGCGUCCGCUGCUUUCGUAAAGCCGAGUUUACGAAGCUCAAUAACUUAAUUCGAAAUUUUGAUUGGUCCGCUCCGUACUUGUGCAGUGACGUCAUUGAAGGCACAAACAUUUUUUAUAAUGUACUUGACACAAUUUUUGACACGUGUGUCCCACUUUCAUGUCCGACUAGAUCUGCGAAACCUCCUUGGUUCACCAAAGAGUUAUCCAGUCUAAAAAAUCUAAAAUCAAGACUAUUUAAAAAAUCUCAAGAAGUUGGUUCUCCCUCUUCUCUUUCUAAUUACUUAAUAGCUCGGUCAAAUUUCACUGUUCUUAAUGCUCAAUGCUAUAG